rnacentral:lncRNA from 1 species
AAGUACACAUUAAGUUAAAUAUUGCUGCUAUUACCUUGAAUCAGACUUGAAAAGACCUACAUAUAUAGAAACCUGUUACAUCAUUAUAAACCAAUAGGGAAAGGAGUGACUUUUUUGAAAAAUUGUAUUUGAUUAUCCUCUUGGAUAUAUUUGAGUUAAAGUGUUGAGAUUAAUAUUUUAAAACUCAAAUGAAUAUAUUCAACAUUUUUUAGACCUCAGAAUAGGAAAAUUAUUUAAAUAAGACAAAG